UACGAAGGGGGCUAGCGUUGUUCGGAUUUACUGGGCGUAAAGGGCGCGUAGGCGGGCGAUUAAGUCAGGGGUGAAAUCCCACAGCUCAACUGUGGAACUGCCUUUGAUACUGAUUGUCUUGAGUCCGGGAGAGGUGAGUGGAACUGCGAGUGUAGAGGUGAAAUUCGUAGAUAUUCGCAAGAACACCAGUGGCGAAGGCGGCUCACUGGCCCGGAACUGACGCUGAGGCGCGAAAGCGUGGGGAGCAAACAGG
rnacentral:rRNA from 1 species